rnacentral:rRNA from 1 species
AACGAACGCUGGCGGCAUGCCUAACACAUGCAAGUCGAACGAGACCUUCGGGUCUAGUGGCGCACGGGUGCGUAACGCGUGGGAACCUGCCCUUAGGUUCGGAAUAACUCCCCGAAAGGGGUGCUAAUACCGGAUAAUGUCUUCGGACCAAAGAUUUAUUGCCUUUGGAUGGGCCCGCGUUGGAUUAGCUAGUUGGUAGGGUAAAAGCCUCCCAAGGCGACGAUCCAUAGCUGGUCUGAGAGGAUGAUUAGCCACACUGGGACGGAGACACGGCCCAGACUCCUACGGGAGGCAGCAGUGGGGAAUAUUGGACCACGGGCGAAAGCCUGAUCCUGCAAUGCCGCGUGAGUGAUGAAGGCCUUAGAGUUGUAAAGCUCUUUUACCCGGGAUGAUAAUGACAGUACCGGGAGAAUAAGCCCCGGCUAACUCCGUG